rnacentral:rRNA from 1 species
UACGGGGGGGGGUAAGCGUUGUUCGGAAUUACUGGGCGUAAAGGGCUCGUAGGCGGCCAACUAAGUCAUACGUGAAAUCCCUCAGCUUAACUGGGGAACUGCGUGUGAUACUGGAUGGCUUGGAUUGGGAGAGGGAUGCGGAAUUCCAGGUGUAGCGGUGAAAUGCGUAGAGAUGCGGAGGAACACCGAUGGCGAAGGCAGCCCCCUGGGCCAACACUGACGCUCAGGCACGAAAGCGUGGGGAGCGAACAGG